UAAAACUAUUCGUUAAAACUA
rnacentral:piRNA from 1 species